rnacentral:lncRNA from 1 species
UUAGGAACAUUUCCUACAAUUGGGUAAUCUUGUCGUAUGCUCAUGAUGUUCAAAAUCCUUUUGAAUUUUGGGAAUCAUAGUUCCUAACAUGAGGCAAGAGGCUUGCAUAGUAUCCUCGAUAUACUUAAUCCAAUCGUUAUAGGCAUCCUUAUCUUCCAUAAGAUAUUCAUCGGGAUUAGGAUCGUUUUCAGUGAUAGGUUACGGACGGUUUGGGUAAUAUUGUUAGCGGCCAUCUACAAAAUUUAACAAGGUUCAAAUUUUAGUAUUUUCGAUAUUAUUAUAUUUUAAUUAUUAAUACCCUUUUAUGUCUCAUAGACAAUUAAUAAUUAAAAAUCUAGAAUCCAACGUUACAUUUAAAUAUCGGUUAGGUGACCUUUAUCCCUCUAUUUAAAUUAACAAGGUACUCAACGUUUGACAAUUGCAACCCUUUGCAACUUCUAUGUGACACCUGUGUCACUCCAACCAUCAAACAAAUGCCAAACCAAGGAAAUAUUGUAUCUCAUACUUGGGAUUUGUAUAAAUAUGUACAUAUGGGAUCAGUUAAACAUCUUUAUGUUUAG